GGUGCCCGCGGCUGCCGCUGCAGCUCUGCCGGGACUCGCUCUCUGCCGCCGCCGCCGCUGCCGCCACCGCCGCCGCAGUUCGGGGAGGGGGAACGUCACGUGACCGCCGAGCGCUCCUUCUCGGCGCCGCUCCCCCCUCACUGCGGAGCCUGAGCCCCAGGCGCGGGAGCGGCAGGGAGGCAACCCCUGCCACGCGCCCCUAGCUAACAGUUCCAGAAUCACACAAACCUGCACAACUCGGCACCCCUUUUAUCUGGAGGACCAGCGACAGGGUCUGGAGGGAUGAAAUGCUGCUGCCAAACCUUCAGACACAAACCACCCAGAAGCAAUGAGGGUUGCAUGACAAGCCCUCGGGAGCAGCCAUACGGCAACUUUCCAGACACACACCUGGAGCAUCCUCCAGGGAGCCUGUGAGUGUGGGAACAGUGCUGGAGUUGCGAGAAGGCCCCACUUCCUCCUGCCACUCAGCGGAGAGAGCAUGUUUGACAAUGUCUACACAACAAACUUCUGAGUAUUCAACCAGGAACACACUUGACCAUAAGAGGAGCUGGUUGCCCUUGGUUACAAAGCAGGAAUGGCAAUGGCAGGAACACCCAGAUGUAAGUGUGCAGAGGCCAGUGUGCCAGCCGGCCAUGGUCCAGCACAGGCAGUGGCUUCCCUGGAGUAUGUGCCCACUUCCUGUGGCCCAGGGCCUGGCUGGCCUGGCAGCACUAGCCUAGAUCUGGAACCCAGCGGCCACAAUAGUUGCUGCUACAGGCAGAGCUGGUUUCUCAAUGACAGGCGCUGGCUGCCCGAGGGGCUGGCCAAGCCAGGACAGGAAGUGUCUUUCAUUGUGUAUGUUGGAAGGGAGGGAAGCAGAUGAGGUGCUCUAAUAGAGGCAGCUCAUUUGUUCUGAGUGCUGGCCUGGUGCAUACCUGGUCUCCUACAGGCAGGAAGAUCAGAAGUUCAGGAUUAUUACUGGCUACAAAGACAGUUUUAGGUCAGCCUGGGUUACAUUAAAACCAAUCCCCAAAAGGGAAAAAACAAAAAAAUAAAACAAAACAAAACAAAAAAACCCAAACAACUGAGCUGGGCGGUGGUGGCGCUCGCCUUUAAUACCAGCACUUGGAAAGCAGAGGCAGGCGGAUUUCUGAGUUCGAGGCCAGCCUGGUCUACAAAGUGAGUUCCAGGACAGCCAGGGCUACACAGAGAAACCCUGUCUCAAAAAAACAAAACAAAACACCCAAACAGUAUAGGCAGGAAAUGGUAGGUAGGCUGGGAAUUUGGUUACAGGUUCAAGGCUAGGCUUUGCUACCUAAUGAUGCUGUAUUAAAAAACAAAAUAGAAACAAAGGCAGGGAGUGGCGCCUCAGGACUUUAAUCCCAUUACUCAGGAGGCAGAGACAGAGGAUCUCUGAGUUGGAGGAUAGCUUAGCCCCGCAGAGACAGUUCCAGAACAGGCAGGGCCACAUAGAACCAGUCUCAAAACAAAACAAAAGCAACAGUUCCGCUCAAUCAGCCCUCCUGCAGAGGUACCUACUGGAGGAUUGAUUGACCUUGACCCUGCCUCUCUUGAACAAGACACAGCCAAGGCCCAGCCAGUGACAAGCUUGGCAGGCCUCAGUUCAGAUGGCAGGCCAUCACCAUCCUGAAAAGGACUUCGAGCUCCCACCCCUCUCCUUCCUACAACCUGGUGAGUCUCAAGACAUAACUGGCUUACCACAACUGGAUCUGAAGUGUGUCAAAGAACACACCGGAAAACCCGUCCCCUGCCUCCAAUUCUUGAAUUACUGCUUGCUUCAAUACUCCACAAAGAAAACCUCUUCAGGCCAGGAAGUACCUAGGAGGAAUCUACAGGCAGCCAGGAGCCUGUACACCCUCGCCCCUGCUGUUGCAAGCAUGUACUCUGGAUGCUCUUGGCAACCCCCAUCGAAACAAUUGAAGCUACACUUCUGGGGCAGGAACCAACCAUCAGAAAGAAGGAAAUCAAAGUCAAACCGUGUUCUGAAAACCUUUCAGCAAGAUCCUGGAGAUGAAUCGUGUGCUGCCUAGCCACUGGCUCUGGCGAUACUUGUGGGCUAAAGGGGAAGAUCUAUGAAAAAGGCUAACUGAACAUCUGUCCAGCCAUCGCUGCAGCCUGCAGGGCUCCUAGCAAAAGGUGUAUUUAAGUUCUCGGUGAAGGCUAAGCAGGAAGCUUGGUGGGGUGGUUUCUCGAUGUCUCUGGACUUUAUAAGAAUUUUCCCACCAGUACGUAUGGACACCCAAACCUCUGGAUGCUGGGGUGAAUAUCGCAGCAGGUAUACAGCGGCGAGGAAAGCCAGGCUAUAAACUGCAACUUUCCAUGCUAGCAAAGGCAAGGAUUACCAGGAAACCCACAGGGACCCUUCCUACGCACCAGCCACAGCCAUGUCGGGGCUAGGCAUUACCUCCAGGAAGAACUGCCCCCAGAGAAAUACCUGUUCAUUUAGGGGUCUGGACUUAAGGUCAACACCCUUCACACAGUGGCACUCGGGCCCACUGCCCUGUACCCUCCCUGUCUGCACCUGCACACUUGGUGCUCUGCCUGGCCAGUCUGGAACAGGAAAGACAGGAUUCUCUGCUCUGGUUCCUGAGGCCAAGCAUCAGUGAGUGAUGGUGACCAGGAUCUGGUCCGGCCUGGGACCAAAGACCAACAACUAAUAGGUGAAAGGACAAAGAACUCACUCCGGAUAAAGGUCCGUGGAAACAGAGACACAAGUGUCUUUAAUUUGGCAGAAAGGUUAACAGUGAUUCUCAAUAAUAAAGUUCAUAAAUACAGAAAAGAAGUUUUCUCUCAGGGAAUAAAGACGUCAAAUGAUAGCCUACAUGUCUGGUAGUGGCAAAAAACAUCUCAGCAUAGGAGACUCUACACAUUUGCUUGGGUUUAAAGAAUGACUAGAAAUAUACACGGGUAGAGCUGGGGAUGUGGGUCAGUAUGCAGAAUUUUCUCUAGUGUGCACGAGGCGCUGGGCCCGGGCCUCGGCACAGCACAGGAAACCUGUCACAGUGGCCACAUGCCUGCAAUCCCAGCACCUGGGAGGAGGAAGUAGGAAGAUCAGAAGUUAAGGUUAUCCUGGUUACAUAGUGAGUCCAAGGCCAGCCUGGGUUACAGGAAACCCUGCCUGGGAAAGAAAAAGGAAACAUAAAGAAGCCUGGAGAUUCAUAAUCUGGUUUAAUGUGGUUCCUGAAUGUAGCUUUAGAACCCAGCAGAAUAGCUAGCCUGUGCUGUAUACAGCCACCCCAGCUCAGAGGACAACCAAACAGCAUGGAUUAGUGAGCAGGAACAUGGCAGCUGGUAAGUCCAAAUGCAGACUCUUUGAAAUAUGUCUGCUUCAAGCUGUGAGGAAGCCGCAGCCCAGGGAUCCCAAGCUUUUCGGGAGUGGCCUUGUUCAGUGGGUGCGGGGGUCUGAGCUGAAGCUCCAGUAAGGCUCUGCAGUGGCGGGCACCGGCUGUGAGGCGGAAGCAGCACACUUCAGCUCGCUGGAACUGGGUCUGCCCCACUGUAUUUGCCUGACAGGAGUUAAUGGCUAUUACCUUGCUAACAUUUCGUAAAGGAAACAAAGGAUGCCUAUGCAACCAACCUCACAGUGCUAACUUCUGGCUUGUGCACAGCCAAUGCCAAGAGAAAGGGGGAGGAACAGCUGCUUCUUGCCACCUAGCCCCACCACCUUUCAGGGGUGCUGAGGCCCUGCCAAUGCUUUGUUACAAAGCCACAAACUCUGGGUUUCUUUCUAAGGACAGUAAAGACCAUUUGUCAAAUAUCUGGUGACUUUCAAAUGUCUUGGCCUUGGGAAAGAGUGGGCUCUUGGUGAGUGAGGCUUGGUCCCAUUUCUGUGGUGCUCGGUAAAGGACAGAUCUGAAAGCCAGGGUCCCGUGAGUCCCUGUGUCCCCAAAGGCAGGAGCUCCUUGAGAAGUCAGUCUUCCAGGAAGGUAGGUGUGCAGCUCUCCUGGCUCUGCCCCGCGCUUCUCACCAUCUCAGAACACUCUUUCUUCAUUGCAAACAUAAAUGCCAUGUUGGGAGUUCUACCCAGCAGCAGAAAGCUACCAAAAGAUGCUGCCAAUGUUGAGAUCAGCAUGUAUACAUCAUUUAAAGUUUUUCAACCAACUAGGUUUUUAAAAAAAAAAAAAAAUCUGUAUCAGCAACUGGGCCACAAACAUACCAACAAUCCACUUGAUAGAGAAAAUGCAAAUCGCUGCCCAGCCCCGUCCGUGCUCCCCUAAAACCUUUUUCUGUUCGAGCAGAUCCUGAUGCUGCUUAAACUACCGUCAACAGUGAUCCUGAGUUGGUGAGGCAGCACACCCUGUAUAGUCUUAAGGGUUUUCAAAAAGCAGUGAGGUCCGAGGAAGGCAGAACUGGAGAGCGGGAGGGCUGUCUAUGAAAACCCGUGCUAUCCUACGGAGCUCCGGUUCGGCUUUUCAAACGUUCAGGGAUACUCUCUUUGCUGCCACCGAACACUGAACAUUUCCUAUCCCUCUGAGAUGAUGGAGGAAAACUGAGACAGUCACUGGCUUGACCCUACUACUCAGCACUGACAGACAGUGAGCAGGGAGGUGGCAGGGCUGUGGCUGCCCUGCAGGCGUGGUGCUCUGAAGACACGUUCCUCGUUGGCAAGUCCUUCACGUUCAUGCUUUAUUGAAAGAUGAGUAUAGGUUAAAUAAAGGCUGGGUUAGCAGAUCUUGUCUCUAGACGGUCACUUGGAGUUUGGAGCAGGAUGCUAGCCCAUGUCCUGGGACACAGAUCCGCUAGUGAGCAGGGCAUCUGUGUGGACUGACCAGGGCUUCACUCCCUCAGUGUAAA